UCGAUAGUUGAAGUUUUUAGGAUAUUGGAGGAGGUAAGCCAUCUCUGGAUUUAGGGCCUGUAAUUCUCUUAUGUGUUUUUUAUAUGUGGGAAUUUCCAUAUCCAUAGAUUGCUCUUUGAUGCAAUAGAUAUCCUUGCCUUAGGAAUCUCACCCUUACUAAGUUUCAUGAGUGCUAAAUAAAAGCUGUAAAUACACCUUCAACCAGGAAAGAUAGUAAUAACUUUUUUCAUGUAUUUGAAUUCUAUUAUUUUAUAUUUAAAUUGUAAUAAUUGAAUCUCAUUUGCUUAGUUGUAUUUGCGGUUUAUGGUUAAUUGUAAAGACAGGUACUAUUAAAUCCAUAGUUAUCUGUUAAAUCGAUUCCCUCUGUUUUUUAUGUGUCUUGUUGGCGUUUUUUCUAUAUUUGGAUCAUAGAUCUUGACUUGCUAACAAUGCCUUUUUAAUGACGUUUACAGUGAUUGAUUUUGCUUUUACAUCUACUCCUAUUUGUGCAAAGUACUGUGUGAAGCAUAUAUGUUGGUGCUUUUAUUCAAAUAAGUUGGUUCUUUCACAUGCCAUAUUCAAUAUCUUGAAUGGGAGUCUUCAAAUGGUAUGGGAGACUGCUUUGGGGAAAUAUAUGAAGAUUUAAGACAAAAAUUCAAUUGUGAUGUCGUAGUUGAUGC
rnacentral:lncRNA from 1 species